AAUGACAUAACAAAGUUUCAUGUUGAAGUUUCGUAGCAACGCAGUAUUUUUUUUAGCUUUUUAUAUGUGGAUUGAAUAAUUUAAAAACAGCUCCGUUCAUUCUGGAAGUUCUUCUGAAAAUUUUUUUUUCAAGGCGUUCUUUUAAAGGAACAUGAAUAUACUUCUAACUAUUGGCGCAUUGGUGUUAUUGGUUUCCUUAGUUUCUUGUGCACCGUUGAUAAACCAUGAGCUUCACAGUCGAAUUUAUGAAGAAACCAUAAGAGAGAUCAAAAGGACAAGAGAUGAAUGCUACAAUGAGAUCAAAGACGGCGAACAAGAACAAGUCUCUAGAAUAACUUUGUGCGAUGAAAAUUAUAAGAAAGCAUUUGAAAAAGCUUCAAUUAAUUAUGAAUACCGUCGAUGAGAAUAUAAUGAAGCAUAAUUAAUAUAAUGAAAAACUAAUAUAUUAAUUUUGAAAACUAUUAUUAUGUAAUGGUCAAAAUAUAUACAAUACGACUUAA